CGCCUUUUUGCCGACUCCUGGUGUACCACGUGUCCUUAUUGGCUUAUACAUGGGUUAGCUCGGCUCAAUUUGGUAUCAACAAUUAUAUAGUAUAAAAAUAUAUAUCUUUGGUUAAAAGUUUUUUUAGUUUUUGAGAGAUAGGUAGCAUGUUACCCGCUUCAUUUAUUUCAUGUAGAAAAUAAACUUAACAAGAAAUGUGAAUUAACUAGGAUUCGAACUUGAAAUCUCAGGUAUCAAUCAUCGAGCCCUUUGCCACUUGUGCUAGAGACGGUCAGUAUCUUUGUUUAAAAGUUGUUCUUCAUGUAUCCACCUAUUACAUAUUUUCAUGUGAAGCAGGUUCGAAACGAUUUACUGAGCUUGAUAUGAAACUAGAAAACAAAUUAUUGCGCGACAAAUAAGAGCGCUAUAAUCUUUUAAAAUAUCUUAGGUUGGAUUCUUUUAUAUUAAGCAAAAGAAGAAUACUAUUAGAAGUAAAUUCGACCAUUUAUUUUCAUAUUAUUUUUGACGAUAGAGUAUCCGAAUUGAUAAUCGAUAUUAUUAAAUUUGAUUUAGGCUAUACGAGCCCACAUGAUAUUUUAAAGUCGUACAAUUUAGAAUCUAAAAAAUAGAUUUAAUUAUACUGAUCGUUGAUUGGAUAUUCCAUUACCGAAAAU
rnacentral:lncRNA from 1 species